AUGUCACGCAACUCUGACCCAUUUUAAUUGGUUUUCCAGCCAUGGUAAAGCAGCGGCUGGAGGUGGCUCUCUGAUUUGCCCAUGCCCCGUGGAUAAGAUCUCUCUUUCUCGUAUCUCACACUCCCUAGCUAUUCGAAUGGAAAGAGAUGUGCAAUGAGGUGAAUUUACAGCUACCAAAGACAGUGGUAGAUGUGGCAAAGAUAGAAGCCUUAAGCAGCAAACCAAGUGGAGUUCUUGAAGCCUUGAGAGAAGGUUAAUGCUUGAAGGUAUGCUCUCAAUCUCGCUUCCUUCUAGAGAUAAUAUGGUCAAUGAAACAAAGGAAGAAAGUGUAUUUAUAAGCACCGAUGGAUUGACGUAUGGCCCAGAUAUCAAAAGCUCGUCAAGACGUCCCAAUUGGAAAAGUGUAUUUGGGAGAAUCUUAAGGUUAAGGCAACCAGCCAAAGAAAGUUUCUCAAGACUAGAGAGCGACCGUAUUGAUGAGGGUAUUUCUUCUGUUGUUGUAUUUCUUAGUCCUAGUACUUUAUACUCUCUGGAAUUUCUGGAAACUUUUUUUUAUUUUUGUGCAAUGAGAGAGAUAAAGUAGUUCAAAAGAUGUCAAACCUUUGGUACUCCGCAAACUCGUAAUCUCUCUACAAUAUACCAAAUCUAAUAAAUGAAGCUUUUGAAGGCGUC